UUAAGUUAGAAAGGGCGCACGGUGGAUGCCUUGGCACUAGGAGCCGAUGAAGGACGGGACGAACACCGAUAUGCUUCGGGGAGCUGUAAGCAAGCUUUGAUCCGGAGAUUUCCGAAUGGGGAAACCCACCACUCGUAAUGGAGUGGUAUCCAUAUCUGAAUACAUAGGAUAUGAGAAGGCAGACCCGGGGAACUGAAACAUCUAAGUACCCGGAGGAAGAGAAAGCAAAUGCGAUUCCCUGAGUAGCGGCGAGCGAAACGGGACCAGCCCAAACCAAGAGGCUUGCCUCUUGGGGUUGUAGGACACUCUGUACGGAGUUACAAAGGAACGAGGUAGAUGAAGAGGUCUGGAAAGGCCCGCCAUAGAAGGUAACAGCCCUGUAGUCAAAACUUCGUUCUCUCCUGAGUGGAUCCUGAGUACGGCGGAACACGUGAAAUUCCGUCGGAAUCCGGGAGGACCAUCUCCCAAGGCUAAAUACUCCCUAGUGACCGAUAGUGAACCAGUACCGUGAGGGAAAGGUGAAAAGCACCCCGGAAGGGGAGUGAAAGAGAUCCUGAAACCGUGUGCCUACAAGUAGUCAGAGCCCGUUAACGGGUGAUGGCGUGCCUUUUGUAGAAUGAACCGGCGAGUUACGAUCCCGUGCAAGGUUAAGCAGAAGAUGCGGAGCCGCAGCGAAAGCGAGUCUGAAUAGGGCGAAUUGAGUACGUGGUCGUAGACCCGAAACCAGGUGAUCUACCCAUGUCCAGGGUGAAGUUCAGGUAACACUGAAUGGAGGCCCGAACCCACGCACGUUGAAAAGUGCGGGGAUGAGGUGUGGGUAGGGGUGAAAUGCCAAUCGAACCUGGAGAUAGCUGGUUCUCUCCGAAAUAGCUUUAGGGCUAGCCUCAAGGUAAGAGUCUCGGAGGUAGAGCACUGAUUGGACUAGGGGCCCCUACCGGGUUACCGAAUUCAGUCAAACUCCGAAUGCCGAUGACUUAUCCUUGGGAGUCAGACUGCGAGUGAUAAGAUCCGUAGUCGAAAGGGAAACAGCCCAGACCGCCAGCUAAGGUCCCAAAGUAUACGUUAAGUGGAAAAGGAUGUGGAGUUGCUUAGACAACCAGGAUGUUGGCUUAGAAGCAGCCACCAUUUAAAGAGUGCGUAAUAGCUCACUGGUCGAGUGACUCUGCGCCGAAAAUGUACCGGGGCUAAACGUAUCACCGAAGCUGCGGACUGUUCUUCGAACAGUGGUAGGAGAGCGUUCUAAGGGCUGUGAAGCAAGACCGGAAGGACUUGUGGAGCGCUUAGAAGUGAGAAUGCCGGUAUGAGUAGCGAAAGAGGGGUGAGAAUCCCCUCCACCGAAUGCCUAAGGUUUCCUGAGGAAGGCUCGUCCGCUCAGGGUUAGUCGGGACCUAAGCCGAGGCCGAAAGGCGUAGGCGAUGGACAACAGGUUGAUAUUCCUGUACCACCUCCUCACCAUUUGAGCAAUGGGGGGACGCAGGAGGAUAGGGUAAGCGCGGUAUUGGAUAUCCGCGUCCAAGCAGUUAGGCUGGGAAAUAGGCAAAUCCGUUUCCCGUGAAGGCUGAGCUGUGAUGGCGAGCGAAUUAUAGUAGCGAAGUUCCUGAUUCCACACUGCCAAGAAAAGCCUCUAGCGAGGUGAGAGGUGCCCGUACCGCAAACCGACACAGGUAGGCGAGGAGAGAAUCCUAAGGUGAUCGAGAGAACUCUCGUUAAGGAACUCGGCAAAAUGACCCCGUAACUUCGGGAGAAGGGGUGCUCUGUUAGGGUGCAAGCCCGAGAGAGCCGCAGUGAAUAGGCCCAGGCGACUGUUUAGCAAAAACACAGGUCUCUGCGAAGCCGUAAGGCGAAGUAUAGGGGCUGACGCCUGCCCGGUGCUGGAAGGUUAAGAGGAGCGCUUAGCGUAAGCGAAGGUGCGAAUUGAAGCCCCAGUAAACGGCGGCCGUAACUAUAACGGUCCUAAGGUAGCGAAAUUCCUUGUCGGGUAAGUUCCGACCCGCACGAAAGGCGCAACGAUCUGGGCACUGUCUCAACGAGAGACUCGGUGAAAUUAUAGUACCUGUGAAGAUGCAGGUUACCCGCGACAGGACGGAAAGACCCCGUGGAGCUUUACUGCAGCCUGAUAUUGAAUGUUGGUACAGCUUGUACAGGAUAGGUAGGAGCCUUGGAAACCGGAGCGCCAGCUUCGGUGGAGGCAUCGGUGGGAUACUACCCUGGCUGUAUUGACCUUCUAACCCGCCGCCCUUAUCGGGCGGGGAGACAGUGUCAGGUGGGCAGUUUGACUGGGGCGGUCGCCUCCUAAAAGGUAACGGAGGCGCCCAAAGGUUCCCUCAGAAUGGUUGGAAAUCAUUCGCAGAGUGUAAAGGCACAAGGGAGCUUGACUGCGAGACCUACAAGUCGAGCAGGGACGAAAGUCGGGCUUAGUGAUCCGGUGGUUCCGCAUGGAAGGGCCAUCGCUCAACGGAUAAAAGCUACCCCGGGGAUAACAGGCUUAUCUCCCCCAAGAGUCCACAUCGACGGGGAGGUUUGGCACCUCGAUGUCGGCUCAUCGCAUCCUGGGGCUGUAGUCGGUCCCAAGGGUUGGGCUGUUCGCCCAUUAAAGCGGUACGCGAGCUGGGUUCAGAACGUCGUGAGACAGUUCGGUCCCUAUCCGUCGCGGGCGCAGGAAAUUUGAGAGGAGCUGUCCUUAGUACGAGAGGACCGGGAUGGACGCACCGCUGGUGUACCAGUUGUUCUGCCAAGGGCAUCGCUGGGUAGCUAUGUGCGGACGGGAUAAGUGCUGAAAGCAUCUAAGCAUGAAGCCCCCCUCAAGAUGAGAUUUCCCAUUCCGCAAGGAAGUAAGAUCCCUGAAAGAUGAUCAGGUUGAUAGGUCUGAGGUGGAAGUGUGGCGACACAUGGAGCUGACAGAUACUAAUCGAUCGAGGACUUAACC
rnacentral:rRNA from 1 species